rnacentral:rRNA from 1 species
AGAGCGAACGCUGGCGGCAGGCCUAAUACAUGCAAGUCGAACGCACCUUCGGGUGGGUGGCGGACGGGUGAGUAACACGUGGGAACGUGCCUUUUGGUUCGGAAUAAUCCGGGGAAACCUGGCCUAAUACCGGAUGUGCCCUUCGGGGGAAAGAUUUAUCGCCAUUAGAGCGGCCCGCGUCUGAUUAGCUUGUUGGUGGGGUAAUGGCCCACCAAGGCUACGAUCAGUAGCUGGUCUGAGAGGAUGAUCAGCCACACUGGGACUGAGACACGGCCCAGACUCCUACGGGAGGCAGCAGUAGGGAAUCUUGCGCAAUGGGCGAAAGCCUGACGCAGCCAUGCCGCGUGAAUGAUGAAGGUCUUAGGAUUGUAAAAUUCUUUCAGCGGGGAAGAUAAUGACUGUACCCGCAGAAGAAGCUCCGGCUAACUUCGUGCCAGCAGCCGC